rnacentral:rRNA from 1 species
UACGUAGGGACCAAGCGUUGUUCGGAUUUACUGGGCGUAAAGGGCGCGUAGGCGGCAAUUCAAGUCAUCUGUGAAAUCUCCGGGCUUAACCCGGAACGGUCAGAUGAUACUGCUUUGCUAGAGUGCGGAAGGGGCAAUCGGAAUUCUCGGUGUAGCGGUGAAAUGCGUAGAUAUCGAGAGGAACACCUGAGGUGAAGACGGGUUGCUGGGCCGACACUGACGCUGAUGCGCGAAAGCCAGGGGAGCGAACGGG